rnacentral:lncRNA from 1 species
UAUUUCUGUAAUAUUUCCAAUUCCUAUCAGGAAUUGUCUAGUUACUCAAGUUCUUUGAGUAAGACCACUGAUUGUCUCAUCUUAGAGCCUUUGUCCUGACCCAUCAAUAUUUUUGUACUGUAGAUUAUUGCAUUGCAUAUUGUUUUUGUAACUGUCUAAGGGGAUAAGUAGGCAUUUUAAUUUUUAUCUGUGCUGUCACUACUUUUAUAUGUUUAUUUUCUGUCUCUAUAUCUUUGUAUAUAUGCACAUAUUUAGGUAUACAUCCAUUUUCAUAUAUACACAUACAUAUGAGAUAUUCAAAUAUUAUAAAGAGACUUUAGCUUAUGAGAAACUAAUAUUUUCAAAAGAUCAUUAUGUAAGUAUCUUUUAUAAUUAAUACUCAAAUUUAAAAUGACUUAGUAUAACACAGGGAUUAAUGCUUUGAAACAGCAUAAAACUUUUACUAGAAGAUAUGUGGGGCCUUUUCUGCUUACCCUUUCAUUAUUUUCUUCACAUAUUUACUUAUAAUUAAGAUGUUCAGGGUACAUUUAAACAUAAAUAUACAUUGGGACUAAUAUUCUUUCUAUUAGACAUCUCUUUAUCUAAUUUUACCUUCUAUGAAUUUAUCAAUAUAGUAAUUUUUUCUAAAUUAUUCCUCUGAAUAAUCUUAUUAUUCCUAUCCAGCCAGUCUGCCAGCCAACCAGGCACCUUCUAUCACAUCAUGUUUUCAUCCAUUCAUAUUUAAGUAUCUUCAGUAAUAUUGGUGCUUUUACUAUUUUUUUCUGUACUCUUAGCUACCCAAAUAGGAUGACCAAUGUGAAGUAGUUUUAAGCUGAGCUCAGCUAAAUCAUGAAGUUAUAAUCUUAGACCAGGAAGAAGACUCAGAUGGUAAGAGCACUUGCCAGAUAAGCCUCACAUGACCCAUAGUGAAAGAGGAAGACUGACUCAAAGAUUGUCCCCUUACCUCCAUAUUUACAUGAUGGCAUCUAUGCCCCUCCCCAGAACAACUCCCAUUCACACAUACAAAUAACUGAACUCAAAGUUUUAACGGUUACAUCCUUCAUUUUACCAUGAGUAAGAUUCUGUGCAUUACACUUUCAGUUUUAAUGCUUUACUAAUUUUUUAAAUUCACAUCCAGUUUGUGCAGAAAGAAAUAUCUCUCGAUUUCCUAAAGAAUGCUAACUCUCUGUACUUUUAUUUAAAUUUCUUUGAUUUUGAAACAUAGCAUACCUUUAUCACAUUAUAUAUUGCUUCAUUUUAAUAAUUAAAAAAACCUUUAAGGGAUAUUCUUAAAACACUUUGCAAAUAGGGAAACUGACUAUUGAAAAGGUUGAUUCCUCCAAUUCUUAUAGUUUAUUUCUGUCAAGUUCUAUUUUUCUUAUUAUACUCUUAUUCUUGGACUCAUAAUCUGGUGUUACUCUACAUGAUUGUGUUUGAUAAACAUAUUCACUUUGUAUUCUAUUAGAGAUGGCAUUUCAUCUGGGUUGCUAUCAGCUUAUAGGUUAAAAUCAUGUUUCAACAAAAGGGUAUCCUCUAUUAGCAUUGGCAAUACUAGCACAGAGCCUUGGCCAACAGACACUUGCAUGCUGACCAUAAAAAUGGCUAAGUAGAGAAUAAUUAGUUAUAAGCGGCCCAUAUUGAGAAUAAUGUUUUCCAUCCAUUUUUCUUAUAAGGGUUACUGAACUAAAACUUAUUAUAUAGCCACAGAUGAAACAAUUUUUUGUUAUCAAUAUUGAGUAAAAUAAAUAACUACUUAAAAAUGAAAAGGAAAUGAGUUUCUGUUAGUUUUCUUGGCGAAAUAUAUAAUCUGACCAUUUAUCUAAUAGAAACAAGAACCUCUGAGACUUUAGAACCUGAACAUUCCUGGGGUAAUAUUAAAUAUGCAUUUUGAUAAAAUAAACUAAUUCUAUUAUGUGUUAUUAUUACAGAGUGAAUGCUUCCAGUAUCCUUUCUCUGAAUUUCAUUAAAGUGAAUGCUUUGAUUUGCUUGCUUGUAGGUCUUGCUUUACAAACAACAACAAACAAACAAACAAGCAAAAAAUUCCACAGUCAUUGUAUUAACUCAAAUAUUGCUUGCUUGCUAGGUCUUGUUCUACAAGAAACAAACGAACAAACACAAAAAAACAGAGUCAUUGUAUUAAUUCAAAUAUUCUAUAAUUCUGAUAAUACUUAUUUCUGUCAAUGCAUUGCUAAUUGUUUUACCUUUUCCAAGAGAAGAAAAAAAGAAAGAGAGAGGAGAGAGAGAGAAAGAGAAAGAAAGACAGAAAGAAGGAAAGAAAGAAAGAGAGAAAG